ACAUGGCCCUGGGAGAUAAGAGUUUUUAGGUCGGACUGCCCGCUGAAAAUUGAAGGCCGCAGUAUUUUAACUGUGCAAAGGUAGCAUAGUCAUUAGUCUCUUAAUUGGGGACUGGGAUGAAUGGUUUGACGAGAUGAUGACUGUCUCUUUAUAAGUAAUUGAAUUUAAAUUUUCAGUAACAAUACUGAAAUAAAAGUAAGGGACGAUAAGACCCUAUAGAACUUUAUAUUAAUGAGUAUAAAAUAUGAAAUAAUAUUUUGCUGGGGUGGUAAGGAAAGAGAGAAACUUUCACUAAUUAUAACAUGAUAAAUGAAUUAAGGAGGUGAUAUAUUAAAAUAGAAUAAGUUACCUUAGGGAUAACAGCUUAAUUUUUUUGGAGAGUUCAUAUCUAGAUAAAAGAUUAAGACCUCGAUGUUGGAUUAGGGUAAUUUCAAGGGGUAGAAGAUUUGAAAAUAAGUCUGUUCGACUUUUAAAUCCCUACAUGAUCUGAG
rnacentral:rRNA from 1 species